rnacentral:sRNA from 1 species
UGUAGGUGAAACUAGGGUUCCGGUCUUUCCCCAUGGGAUGAGAGAUGUCUGGUCCGAGAGUUUCCGGCUUCGUCAUGACGAGGCUCCACGGAGGGAUAAAAGCCCGGGAGAU